rnacentral:rRNA from 1 species
GCGCACCAGUCGCGAAACCUCCGCAAUACACGAAAGUGUGACGGGGCCAUCCCGAGUGCCGUCCGCUGAGGACGGCUUUUCCCCAGUGUACACAGCUGGGGGAAUAAGGAGAGGGCAAGCCUGGUGUCAGCCGCCGCGGUAAUACCAGCUCUCCGAGUGGUGGGGACGCUUAUUGGGCCUAAAGCAUCCGUAGCCGGCUGGCAAGUCCUCCGUUAAAUCCAACGAUUCAAUCGUUGGGCUGCGGGGGAUACUGUCCAGCUUGGGGGCGGGAGAGGCCGACGGUAUUCCCGGGGUAGGGGUGAAAUCCUAUAAUCCCGGGAGGACCACCAGUGGCGAAGGCUGUCGGCUAGAACGCGCCCGACGGUGAGGGGAUGAAAGCUGGGGGAGCGAACCGGAUUAGAUA